rnacentral:rRNA from 1 species
UACGGGGGGGGUAAGCGUUGUUCGGAAUUACUGGGCGUAAAGGGCUCGUAGGCGGCCAACUAAGUCAGACGUGAAAUCCCUCAGCUUAACUGGGGAACUGCGUCUGAUACUGGAUGGCUUGGAUUCGGGAGAGGAAUGCGGAAUUCCAGGUGUAGCGGUGAAAUGCGUAGAUAUCAGGAGGAACACCGGUGGCGAAGGCGACUUCCUGGACACCAACUGACGCUGAGACGCGAAAGCGUGGGGAGCAAACAGG